CCUACGGGUGGCAGCAGUGAGGAAUAUUGGUCAAUGGACGAGAGUCUGAACCAGCCAAGUAGCGUGAAGGAUGACUGCCCUAUGGGUUGUAAACUUCUUUUAUAUGGGAAUAAAAUGUUCCACGUGUGGGAUUUUGUAUGUACCAUAUGAAUAAGGAUCGGCUAACUCCGUGCCAGCAGCCGCGGUAAUACGGAGGAUCCGAGCGUUAUCCGGAUUUAUUGGGUUUAAAGGGAGCGUAGGUGGAUUGUUAAGUCAGUUGUGAAAGUUUGCGGCUCAACCGUAAAAUUGCAGUUGACACUGGCAGUCUUGAGGACAGUAGAGGUGGGCGGAAUUCGUGGUGUAGCGGUGAAAUGCUUAGAUAUCACGAAGAACUCCGAUUGCGAAGGCAGUUCACUGGACUGCAACUGACACUGAGGCUCGAAAGUGUGGGUAUCAAACAGGAUUAGAUACCCGUGUAGUC
rnacentral:rRNA from 1 species